UGGGGAAUAUUGGACAAUGGGCGCAAGCCUGAUCCAGCCAUGCCGCGUGAGUGAUGAAGGCCCUAGGGUUGUAAAGCUCUUUCACCGGUGAAGAUAAUGACGGUAACCGGAGAAGAAGCCCCGGCUAACUUCGUGCCAGCAGCCGCGGUAAUACGAAGGGGGCUAGCGUUGUUCGGAUUUACUGGGCGUAAAGCGCACGUAGGCGGACUAUUAAGUCAGGGGUGAAAUCCCGGGGCUCAACCCCGGAACUGCCUUUGAUACUGGUAGUCUUGAGUUCGAGAGAGGUGAGUGGAAUUCCGAGUGUAGAGGUGAAAUUCGUAGAUAUACGGAGGAACACCAGUGGCGAAGGCGGCUCACUGGCUCGAUACUGACGCUGAGGUGCGAAAGCGUGGGGAGCAAACAGG
rnacentral:rRNA from 1 species